rnacentral:rRNA from 1 species
GAUGAACGCUGGCGGCGUGCCUAAUACAUGCAAGUCGAGCGAACGGACGAGAAGCUUGCUUCUCUGAUGUUAGCGGCGGACGGGUGAGUAACACGUGGAUAACCUACCUAUAAGACUGGGAUAACUUCGGGAAACCGGAGCCAAUACCGGAUAAUAUUUUGAACCGCAUGGUUCAAAAGUGAAAGACGGUCUUGCUGUCACUUAUAGAUGGAUCCGCGCUGCAUUAGCUAGUUGGUAAGGUAACGGCUUACCAAGGCAACGAUGCAUAGCCGACCUGAGAGGGUGAUCGGCCACACUGGAACUGAGACACGGUCCAGACUCCUACGGGAGGCAGCAGUAGGGAAUCUUCCGCAAUGGGCGAAAGCCUGACGGAGCAACGCCGCGUGAGUGAUGAAGGUCUUCGGAUCGUAAAACUCUGUUAUUAGGGAAGAACAUAUGUGUAAGUAACUGUGCACAUCUUGACGGUACCUAAUCAGAAAGCCACGGCUAACUACGUGCCAGCAGCCGCGGUAAUACGUAGGUGGCAAGCGUUAUCCGGAAUUAUUGGGCGUAAAGCGCGCGUAGGCGGUUUUUUAAGUCUGAUGUGAAAGCCCACGGCUCAACCGUGGAGGGUCAUUGGAAACUGGAAAACUUGAGUGCAGAAGAGGAAAGUGGAAUUCCAUGUGUAGCGGUGAAAUGCGCAGAGAUAUGGAGGAACACCAGUGGCGAAGGCGACUUUCUGGUCUGUAACUGACGCUGAUGUGCGAAAGCGUGGGGAUCAAACAGGAUUAGAUACCCUGGUAGUCCACGCCGUAAACGAUGAGUGCUAAGUGUUAGGGGGUUUCCGCCCCUUAGUGCUGCAGCUAACGCAUUAAGCACUCCGCCUGGGGAGUACGACCGCAAGGUUGAAACUCAAAGGAAUUGACGGGGACCCGCACAAGCGGUGGAGCAUGUGGUUUAAUUCGAAGCAACGCGAAGAACCUUACCCAAUCUUGACAUCCUUUGACAACUCUAGAGAUAGAGCCUUCCCCUUCGGGGGACAAAGUGACAGGUGGUGCAUGGUUGUCGUCAGCUCGUGUCGUGAGAUGUUGGGUUAAGUCCCGCAACGAGCGCAACCCUUAAGCUUAGUUGCCAUCAUUAAGUUGGGCACUCUAAGUUGACUGCCGGUGACAAACCGGAGGAAGGUGGGGAUGACGUCAAAUCAUCAUGCCCCUUAUGAUUUGGGCUACACACGUGCUACAAUGGACAAUACAAAGGGCAGCGAAACCGCGAGGUCAAGCAAAUCCCAUAAAGUUGUUCUCAGUUCGGAUUGUAGUCUGCAACUCGACUACAUGAAGCUGGAAUCGCUAGUAAUCGUAGAUCAGCAUGCUACGGUGAAUACGUUCCCGGGUCU